GUCGACAGUCAGGUAACGAGCGAGACCACUGCGUCUAGUUGCUACCAUUACUCUCUGGAGCAGUGGAGCGAAUUAGACGGACCGCCACAGUUAAUGUGGAGGAAGGAAGGGGCCACGGCAGGUCAGUAUGCCCCGAAACCCUAGGGCUACACGCGGGCUGCAAUGGUAUUGACAAUGUGUUCCGAAUCCGAAAGGAGGAGGCAAUCAUCAAACAAUAUCUCAGUUAUGACUGAGGGCUGUAACUCGCCCUCACGAAUAUGGAAUCCCUAGUAACCGCGCGUCAUUACCGCGCGGUGAAUACGUCCCUGCUCCUUGCACGAAUUCGCCG
rnacentral:rRNA from 1 species